rnacentral:rRNA from 1 species
GACAGAGGUGCCGAGCGUUAGGCGGAAUCACUGGGCUUAAAGCGUGUGUAGGCGGAUCUGUAAGUACCUUGUGAAAUCCCACGGCUCAACCGUGGAACUGCUUGGUAUACUGCGGGUCUUGAGCCACCUAGGGGCAAGUGGAACAAGCGGUGGAGCGGUGAAAUGCGUAGAUAUCAUUUGGAACGCCAACGGAGAAAUUAGCUCGCUGGGGGUGUGCUGACGCUGAGACACGAAAGCCAGGGGAGCGAACGGG